rnacentral:tmRNA from 1 species
UCUGGAUUCGACGGGAUUUGCGAAACCCAAGGUGCAUGCCGAGGGGCGGUUGGCCUCGUAAAAAGCCGCAAAAAAAUAGUCGCAAACGACGAAACCUACGCUUUAGCAGCUUAAUAACCUGCUUAGAGCCCUCUCUCCCUAGCCUCCGCUCUUAGGACGGGGAUCAAGAGAGGUCAAACCCAAAAGAGAUCGCGCGGAUGCCCUGCCUGGGGUUGAAGCGUUAAAACGAAUCAGGCUAGUCUGGUAGUGGCGUGUCCGUCCGCAGGUGCCAGGCGAAUGUAAAGACUGACUAAGCAUGUAGUACCGAGGAUGUAGGAAUUUCGAG